rnacentral:misc_RNA from 1 species
GAUGAAGAACGCAGCGAAAUGCGAUAAGUAAUGUGAAUUGCAGAAUUCAGUGAAUCAUCGAAUCUUUGAACGCACAUUGCGCCCUCUAGUAUUCUGGCGGGCAUGCCUGUCCGAGCGUCAUUUCAACCCUCAAGCCCCCGGGCUUGGUGUUGGGGAUCGGCGAGCCUCCGCGCCCGCCGUCCCCUAAAUCUAGUGGCGGUCUCGCUGUAGCUUCCUCUGCGUAGUAGCACACCUCGCACUGGGAAACAGCGCGGCCACGCCGUUAAACCCCCAACUUCUGAACGUUUGACCUCGGAUCAGGUAGGAAUACCCGCUGAACUUAAGCAUAUCAAUAAGCGGAGGA